GAUGAACGCUGGCGGCGUGCCUAAUACAUGCAAGUCGAGCGAACAGAUGAGGAGCUUGCUCCUCUGACGUUAGCGGCGGACGGGUGAGUAACACGUGGAUAACCUACCUAUAAGACUGGGAUAACUUCGGGAAACCGGAGCUAAUACCGGAUAAUAUAUUGAACCGCAUGGUUCAAUAGUGAAAGACGGUUUUGCUGUCACUUAUAGAUGGAUCCGCGCCGCAUUAGCUAGUUGGUAAGGUAACGGCUUACCAAGGCAACGAUGCGUAGCCGACCUGAGAGGGUGAUCGGCCACACUGGAACUGAGACACGGUACAGACUCCUACGGGAGGCAGCAGUAGGGAAUCUUCCGCAAUGGGCGAAAGCCUGACGGAGCAACGCCGCGUGAGUGAUGAAGGUCUUCGGAUCGUAGAACUCUGUUAUUAGGGAAGAACAAAUGUGUAAGUAACUAUGCACGUCUUGACGGUACCUAAUCAGAAAGCCACGGCUAACUACGUG
rnacentral:rRNA from 1 species